UACGUAGGGGGCAAGCGUUGUCCGGAAUCAUUGGGCGUAAAGCGCGUGUAGGCGGCUCGGUAAGUUCGCUCUGAAAGUCCGGGGCUCAACCCCGGGAGGCGGGUGGAUACUGUCGAGCUAGAGUCCGGAAGAGGCGAGUGGAAUUCCUGGUGUAGCGGUGAAAUGCGCAGAUAUCAGGAGGAACACCAAUGGCGAAGGCAGCUCGCUGGGACGGUACUGACGCUGAGACGCGAAAGCGUGGGGAGCAAACAGG
rnacentral:rRNA from 1 species